AAGCUUGCUCUGUGUUGAUUCGAUGUCAUAUACAAGAUCCUGAUACAAUUGAUAGGCUCAUAGCGGUUUCUGAAGCCUCGUACAACAAGUGGCGUCUUCGAAUCCUUACAUAGAAAUCCCUUGUAUUUGGGUGUCAUGUUUGUUGGUUAUCUUCUUAUUAAAGCUCUAUGGGUGUAAGUUGACAUUUCGGGAGAAUUUCGAUAUGGAGCUCUUCCGGCAAUCAUUUCCUUGUCUACCAAAUUUGUUCCAACUAUCAUGAACCUUAUGAAAAAACUAGCAGAGGAGGAACAAAACCAUGCAGCUAACAAUCCUCAGAGAACCCCAUCAAAAAACAGUUACAGUGACAGUCACGCCGUCUCAUCGAGCGCCUCAUCUAACCUGACUGCAUUGGACAACAAAACGGAGUAUGAGGGCCCAGUUAAAGAUGA